rfam:Hypsibius dujardini strain Z151 scaffold0093, whole genome shotgun sequence.
GAAGCGCUGGCGCAACGGUAGCGCGUUCGACUCCAGAUCGAAAGGUUAAGGGUUCAAAUCCCUUGCGUUUCC